rnacentral:sRNA from 1 species
AUUCUUCGAGUAUGCUGCUCUUGCUCUAAGACGCUCAUACAUUGGAGUCACAGCUUCGUAAAUUAAACUGGAAAUAGUUUGCAGACUUAUCAGUCUUCUGACCUGCAGCAGUGUCUCUGCUAUGUUUGAGAUUUUUGUUUUGGAUGGUGAAAGCUAGCACUCCUUACAAGACAUGACAGCAAAAGAUUCUUCAAAGGAACUUACUGCUUCUGAACCUGAGGUUUGCAUAAAGACUUUCAAGGAGCAAAUGCAUUUAGAACUUGAGCUUCCGAGAUUACCAGGAAACAGACCUACAUCUCCUAAAAUUUCUCCACGCAGUUCACCAAGGAACUCACCAUGCUUUUUCAGAAAGUUGCUGGUGAAUAAAAGCAUUCGGCAGCGUCGUCGCUUCACUGUGGCUCAUACAUGUGCAGUGAAGAACAUGCUUAUUAGUAUGGAUCCUCAUGUUCCAGAAGAGUCCUUUUUCUGAGUGCUUUGAUGUGGAAAAUGGCCCUUCCCCAGGUCGGAGUCCACUGGAUCCCCAGGCCAGCUCUUCCGCUGGGCUGGUACUUCACACCACCUUUCCUGGGC